UGGGGAAUAUUGGACAAUGGGCGAAAGCCUGAUCCAGCCAUGCCGCGUGUGUGAAGAAGGUCUUCGGAUUGUAAAGCACUUUAAGUUGGGAGGAAGGGCAGUAAGCGAAUACCUUGCUGUUUUGACGUUACCGACAGAAUAAGCACCGGCUAACUCUGUGCCAGCAGCCGCGGUAAUACAGAGGGUGCAAGCGUUAAUCGGAAUUACUGGGCGUAAAGCGCGCGUAGGUGGUUCGUUAAGUUGAAUGUGAAAGCCCCGGGCUCAACCUGGGAACUGCAUCCAAAACUGGCGAGCUAGAGUAGGGCAGAGGGUGGUGGAAUUUCCUGUGUAGCGGUGAAAUGCGUGGAUAUAGGAAGGAACACCAGUGGCGAAGGCGACCACCUGGGCUCAUACUGACACUGAGGUGCGAAAGCGUGGGGAGCAAACAGG
rnacentral:rRNA from 1 species